UAACACGUAGGGGCCAAGCGUUGUCCGGAUUCAUUGGGCGUAAAGAGCUCGUAGGCGGUUCAGUUAGUCGGGUGUGAAAUCUCCGGGCUCAACUCGGAGGGGCCACCCGAUACUGCUGUGACUCGAGUCCGGUAGGGGAGUGGGGAAUUCCUGGUGUAGCGGUGAAAUGCGCAGAUAUCAGGAGGAACACCGGUGGCGAAGGCGCCACUCUGGGCCGGUACUGACGCUGAGGAGCGAAAGCGUGGGGAGCAAACAGGAUUAGAUACCCUGGUAGUCCACGCUGUAAACGGUGGGCACUAGGUGUGGGUCCUUACCAACGGGAUCCGUGCCGUAGCUAACGCAUUAAGUGCCCCGCCUGGGGAGUACGGCCGCAAGGCUAAAACUUAAAGGAAUUGACGG
rnacentral:rRNA from 1 species